rnacentral:rRNA from 1 species
GGACUACACGGGUAUCUAAUCCUGUUCGCUCCCCUGGCUUUCGCGCCUCAGCGUCAGGUACCAUCCAGGACACUGCCUUCGCCUUUGGUAUUCCUCCGGAUAUCUACGCAUUUCACCACUCCACCCGGAAUUCUAUGUCCCUCUCUGGUCCUCAAGUCCAGCAGUUUUCAGAGUCCUUGCUCAGUUAAGCUGCGCACUGUCACUCUAAACUUGCCGAACCGCCUGCACGCCCUUUACGCCCAGUAACUCCGGACAACGCUUGCCCCCUACGUCUUACCGCGGCUGCUGGCAC